UGAGCAAUCUGCCCUUCUCUUUGGAAUAAGCGUUGGAAACGACGUCUAAUGCCGAAUACGACCUCCUUUCGCAUGAUCGGAGGUGGAAAGCUCCGGCGGAGAAGGAUGAGCUCGCGGCCUAUCAGCUAGUUGGUGUGGGUAAUGGCCCACCAAGGCGACGACGGGUAGCCGGCCUGAGAGGGUGACCGGCCACACUGGGACUGAGACACGGCCCAGACCUCCCGUACGGGAGGNAGCG
rnacentral:rRNA from 1 species